rnacentral:rRNA from 1 species
CAGUCGCCACGGUAAUACGUAGGUGGCAAGCGUUGUCCGGAAUUAUUGGGCGUAAAGGGCUCGCAGGCGGUUUCUUAAGUCUGAUGUGAAAGCCCCCGGCUCGACCGGGGAGGGUCAUUGGAAACUGGGAAACUUGAGUGCAGAAGAGGAGAGUGGAAUUCCACGUGUAGCGGUGAAAUGCGUAGAGAUGUGGAGGAACGCCAGUGGCGAAGGCGACUCUCUGGUCUGUAACUGACGCUGAGGAGCGAAAGCGUGGGGAGCAAACAGGAUUAGAUACCCCCGUAGUCCCUGUCUCUUAUAC